rnacentral:rRNA from 1 species
GACGAACGCUGGCGGCGUGCUUAACACAUGCAAGUCGAGCGGUAAGGCCCUUUUGGGGGUACACGAGCGGCGAACGGGUGAGUAACACGUGGGUGACCUGCCCUCAGCUCUGGGAUAAGCCUGGGAAACUGGGUCUAAUACCGGAUAUGACCUUUCCUCGCAUGGGGGUUGGGUGGAAAGUUUUUCGGCUGGGGAUGGGCCCGCGGCCUAUCAGCUUGUUGGUGGGGUGAUGGCCUACCAAGGCGACGACGGGUAGCCGGCCUGAGAGGGCGACCGGCCACACUGGGACUGAGACACGGCCCAGACUCCUACGGGAGGCAGCAGUGGGGAAUAUUGCGCAAUGGGCGGAAGCCUGACGCAGCGACGCCGCGUGGGGGAUGACGGCCUU